GAAUAUUUUUAAUAAAUGGAAGAUAAAUAUUACCUAUUGUGCCACCACUUACGAUCUUACCUUUAUGAUUUUCUCCAAAUCCAAAAAAUUAUCCUACCUUGAAGGUUAAGUUUUGGAAAAUAAACUUUUCUUUUGUCAUGUGUUAUAUGCAUCCAUUGUACAGGUACCAUGAAUGGUGUUUCAUUUUGUUCUUGGACAUGCAUAUUAUCAUGACAUUUCUUUAACCAAUAGGAGCAAGUAGUUUCAGGUAUGUUAAAUUUUGAAGUUUCCUAUGGUUCUUCAAAUUCAAUACAUUUUCAGUUGUUUCUCCUAACACCAUAUAUCAUAGACAUUUUUUUUUGCAUCUAUUGUGCCAUUUUCAAGAAAAAUCUUGAAAGGCUUUUUCAUACUUUAGAAUUACAAGCAUUUUUCUUUAAAAACUUUGAAACAUUACCCUUCAGAGGUUAGUUUUCCCUUUUUAUAUUUUUGAAAUCUUUUCCAAGGGAUUCAUACUUAUCAAUUAAGAUGGAAUGAGCUUUUGUGAGAACAAAAUCUGAAAUAUGUACCUUUUGAAAUUGAAGAUUAACUUUAUUAUAAGUGUCAUUCACCAUAAUUUUCCCUUAUCAUUAUUUGUGGAAAAAGUACCAGGCUAAGAAUUUAAAGGGAUAAAAGGUAUAUGUUGCGCAUUCAACUAAACAUUGAAAGGCCCCCCGAUAGCAUAAUUCAAAUGGGCUUGCGUUGCAAUAUAUGCGUGACCCUAGAAUCCUUGAACUCUUUUUACAUUUAAGGUGAAAAAAUUAUAACAAAAAUUCGUUUUUAACUUCCAAAUCCUUGACAUGUUGAACCUCGUUUUGAAACAUGAGUUUAACUAUGUCAGAAAAUUGUUGGAGCCUUGAUACAUGAUAUCAUGGAUAUCCAUAUCAAUUUUUUUUCUUCUGAUGAAGAACAUGAUCAUGACCACUAGCUCCUUAAGGAGAUCCGUUAGAGGACCAUCUGUAUUGUUUGGAGAAGCCACAUUAGUUGACAUUCCAAGCCUCUGGGGUAGUUCAUUUGAACAUGUGAGAUUAGUUCCUUUUGAUGUUGAAGCGGGUAUCAAUGGUUUGAUUUGAGACUUAUACUUGAGCGCAAAUGCAUACGCCAAUUGUGGCUGCGAUAUGAGAACUAAACUUGGUAAUUCUGCAAGUUGUGUUGUCCCACUAGGCAUGCAAAUUUAGUUGUUGAACUAGAAAGUUAGUCGAGAAGAUCGACUUAUAACUAUCAAUAGUGGUUGUUUUUUCUUCAAGAUAUUAUGCCAAGAAAGGAACUUUGUUCCUUGCUACAAGUUCCUUAACUCUUCUAAAGAGUGUUAAGUGUGGCUAAGGUUGUUUUGUGAAAUAAAUGACUAAUGAAACAUAAAUGAUAAAAAGUAGAAAAGCUAAAAGACAAAAAUGCGAGUGAAAAACGUGUUUGAUUGAUUGAUUGUGUUGUGUUGUAUGGAAUGUUACAAGCUUAUUUUUAGACGAAAAUAAUAACAUAAAACCUCAUUACCCACUAUGUUCAACUAACAAAGAACAAAUUCUAGUUGUCGUGACAUGACUAGACUUUAGGAAAAUGUGGUUGACAUAAUCAAUAUUUUAGUGUACAUCGGAGUCCACGAUUUACGUUCACUAUAUGUUAUGUGGUUCUGACAGUUAUCCAUAAUAGUGCCCUUGUUUUUUCCAUUUAACCAUGCCUCCUAUAUUUUAGUUGUGUUUCUUAGGCCUAAUUAUAAAUAAGGAAAAUAAGCAAGAGGUCGAGUUAUCUUUGUUCAUAUGUUUUCUUGUAAUUUUAAAACUCCUAUAAUCCUUUUUAGGUCUACUUAGAACCAAAAGAAACUCGACUUCGUAACUUUCGGUUGUUACUAAUUUGGCUAAAUGCUUACUUGGUUGUAAAGGCAUUGGCUUAUCAUUUCCUCAACUGCAAAUUGUCUGGACUAACAACUUAUUUUAUUAUUUUGGUGUAAACACAUAAGGUAAUUUAUUGCAAAAAAAUUAUUUAAGUGAUAUUCUCUAAGUACAUAUCAUAUGACAACGGCAAGGACAUUUGAUAUGCUAAAAUGUGAGUUCAAACCUAAGAUAUCCCUCUUCUUCCAUAUUUAAUAUGUAUGGUUUGUACUACUUAAUACUUUAGAAAGAAAGAAAAAAGUGUUUUAGCGAGUCAAAUCUUUAUAUGCUUGAUAUAACAACGGUUUAUAUCAAGCAUAUAAGACAUCUAUUUGACUGAAUUAUAUAAUUUAGCACAAUCUCAAACUUUGAUUUAUUUAAUUAAUUGAACAAAUAAUCUUGAUCAAUAUUUAAUAAAUUGUAUUUGAUUAGUUCACAUAGUUCAUUUCAUUUAUUUCUUUUAGUCAUAGAAAAUAUUCAUUUUGUUUUUAAUCAACAAUUCAAUUCAUUUUUAACAUUAUUUAUAAUGACUGGUUUGACAUUUAAAUUUUUUAGAUAAAAUAUAAAUAAAUGUUAUAUUUAAAAAUAUGAUAUAUAUAUAUAUAUAACUUUAAAUUUCAAUAGAUACAUCAACUAUUCAAUAUUAAUCUUAUAUUUCAUUUCAUACAAAGUAUUUAUUACUACAUUCGUAUCUGUAUGUAAGACUCUUUUAUAAAUUUUUAUUAUUAUUUUUUAUAUGAUUUUUUGCAAAUUACAAGAUAUAUUAAUGAUUUUUUUUCACAAAAAUACUUCUAAUUAAAUAAAAUAGAUAAAAAGAUGAACUAUCUCUCUUAAAAAAUAAAAGAUAACUUUAUAAAAAUAAUAUACAUCAUUAAUAAAUUUAAAUAUAAAAAUAAUUUUUCUUAGUUUAUGUGUAUUGACUAAGAAAAUAUGUAGUAAUAGAGAAAGAGAAGAAAAUAGCUAUGCCAGUUGGUUGCUUUAUAAUAAUUAAUAUCCGAUAUGAAGUCGCUUUAUGCAAGCAAAGAUUAAGGAAAGGCAGUCCUCUACUUCAAAAUUAGUCUUUAGCACGUAACCUUUCUCGAUUCUAAAAUGCUUGACAUUUUGUUUUGCUGUUUGUCUUGAUUCUAAUUAAUUCAUUUUUGACAAAGUGAGAGAGGAGAACAAAAAGACGAAAUAAUGUAUCAAUUGAGAAGAGAGUCGAAUGAGACAGCGAUGAAGAAUAAACCAACAGCUUUGGUUUGCUUGAUGAAGCAAGAAAGGAAAACAAACAAACAAACUGUGUGCCGGGUCCAUUCUAUGUGCGAAAAGACAAGAAAAUAAAACAUUUGUAUUUCUCUUAGCACUUGUGUUAUUUAAACAUUAAAAUACAAAUAUAGUAUAUUCC
rnacentral:lncRNA from 1 species